CGAAUUCGGGCAUACGCAAUAGCGAGGCCGUCAGAAUAAUUGUCUGCGUUCAACACUGGAUUGAUGGGCGAUGGGACAGUAUACACCGCGCAUGGAAAAUCGUUUAAGCCUGGCUUGUUAUAAAACCGCCGCGCGCCACUGUGUACAUAUAUAUAUAUACAGACAGACAGAGAGAGAGAGAGAGAGAGAAAGAAUUUACGAUAUUAUACGUGCAGGCGAUACUGUAUUGUACAGAAUCUCGUACAGUAAUAUACGAGAAAAGG